AACCCCUGCUGCCUGUUGCCACCACGAGAGUGGGGACUCAGGCGGGACCGCCGGUGACAAACCGGAGGAAGGUGGGGACGACGUCAAGUCAUCAUGGCCCUUAUGUCCUGGGCUACACACGUGCUACAAUGGCCGGUACAGAGCGCAGCGAGGCCGCGAGGCGGAGCGAAUCGCUUAAAAGCCGGUCCCAGUACGGAUUGGAGUCUGCAACCCGACUCCAUGAAGUUGGAAUCGCUAGUAAUCGCGCAUCAGCAUGGCGCGGUGAAUACGUUCCCGGGCCCUU
rnacentral:rRNA from 1 species